AGGAGCUUGCUCCUUUGACGUUAGCGGCGGACGGGUGAGUAACACGUGGAUAACCUACCUAUAAGACUGGGAUAACUUCGGGAAACCGGAGCUAAUACCGGAUAACAUAUUGAACCGCAUGGUUCAAUAGUGAAAGGCGGCUUUGCUGUCACUUAUAGAUGGAUCCGCGCCGUAUUAGCUAGUUGGUAAGGUAACGGCUUACCAAGGCAACGAUACGUAGCCGACCUGAGAGGGUGAUCGGCCACACUGGAACUGAGACACGGUCCAGACUCCUACGGGAGGCAGCAGUAGGGAAUCUUCCGCAAUGGGCGAAAGCCUGACGGAGCAACGCCGCGUGAGUGAUGAAGGUCUUCGGAUCGUAAAACUCUGUUAUCAGGGAAGAACAAAUGUGUAAGUAACUGUGCACAUCUUGACGGUACCUGAUCAGAAAGCCACGGCUAACUACGUGCCAGCAGCCGCGGUAAUACGUAGGUGGCAAGCGUUAUCCGGAAUUAUUGGGCGUAAAGCGCGCGUAGGCGGUUUUUUAAGUCUGAUGUGAAAGCCCACGGCUCAACCGUGGAGGGUCAUUGGAAACUGGAAAACUUGAGUGCAGAAGAGGAAAGUGGAAUUCCAUGUGUAGCGGUGAAAUGCGCAGAGAUAUGGAGGAACACCAGUGGCGAAGGCGACUUUCUGGUCUGUAACUGACGCUGAUGUGCGAAAGCGUGGGGAUCAAACAGGAUUAGAUACCCUGGUAGUCCACGCCGUANACGAUGAGUGCUAAGUGUUAGGGGGUUUCCGCCCCUUAGUGCUGCAGCUAACGC
rnacentral:rRNA from 1 species